GACUGAACCAGUGUAAUUAGCUCACAAGUGUAAAGUGAGUGAAUGGACUGAGAAUACAAAAAUACAUUUAUACUGAAUCUUUAUUUUAUGAUGUUAACAUUAAUAUAAACACUAACAUAUUUCACUCAGUAACACAUUUGAACGUGCUCGUGGCUGCAGCAGGACUUUCACACCUUCAUUGUGUUUUAACAUAAACAGCUCCAUCAUGCAGUGUAAAGCCUGAGAAACUAAACUAACACGUUCACUACACACACUUCCUUUAUUUCAGGGACUACAGCAGUCUGAUGGUCAUUACACAAUAAUUCUGUCAUUUUUACACAUUAUUCUUUCUGUGCUGUAGUCAGAGAGUCUAGUUUAAUGACCCGUGUAUGUUUUAGUGCUCCAAACUGUGUAAGUGUGUGUUUCUGACUAAAACUGGUCCAUGUGACCAUCAGAAUACAUGUUACAGCUAAUAGACCAAUCAAAUCAGUCCACAGCUUCAAAUCAUCCAAUCAGGUGUGAGUCUGGACCUGGUUUUGUACUGAACACACAAGUUCAUUAGAUCACUUGGUGUGAACAGGAACGAUGAUCAGACUCUUUGUCGCUCUUUGUGCUCUUUUUUCUCUCUUCACAGCUGAGAAAACUUUUGACAUGAAGGAGAUUGGUGUGAAAACAGUAAAGCGUGGAGAAGAUGUAACUAUGAAGUGUAGCAUUAGCAGUGUCACAAAGAGAGAUAUUGUAGUUUGGUACAGACAGAUUUCAGGAAAAUUACCUCAGUUUAUUGCAAAACCAUACAAGAGCGAUUUGGGCUACAAAUUUGUUGAUGGAUUUAAUGAUGCUCGUUUCGGUAUUAGUGUAAAUGACAAUAAAUUUGAUCUCAAUAUAAAAAAAAAACAAGUGAAGAUGAUGAAGGAGAAUAUUUCUGUGGAGAAAUGGAAGGAAGUGUAGUGAAGUUCACAUCUGGAACACGUCUGCAAUUUAAAGACACGACACACCGUCUAACAUCUGGAACAACACACAGAGAGUUAUCCAGCAGCAGAGAAACAAAUAAAGAGAUGACACGCAGUAAUACAUCUGGAACUACACACGGAGUUUCAGCCAUCUGCAAUGAAACAAGUAAGAUCUUUAAAAACUACAUUUAUUUAAUGUCUGAAUUUAUUUUUUGCACAUUUAUGAUUUAUUGUUUGUUCCACAGCAAUUUACCAAAACAACACAAGUCAGUGUACCAUAAAACACACACAACUGCACACAAAAAAAGAAACUUAAACAUAAACUUCUGACCAAUCAGAAUCCAGAACUGAACGAUUCCUAACAAUAAUUGUGUUUCUCCCUGUAGGUGAGAGCUG